AGCUAGAGUAUCUGCUCAGAAGUGAUUCAGGACAAGAGUAGCAAGGUGCCCUGGCAAAGUAGGGGGAGGACAGGACUGGGGUGUGCAGGCAGAACAGCGUGUGGGCUAAGGACUCAGCUCGCAGCCUAGGCUUACACUGAAUGGACACCCAGUUGCAGUGUCUUGAGACUUCCGACCAGACCCUCCUGCACUUCACCCAACGCCUUCCAGGAAGAGCAGGAACCCUGAAGUGCUGAGGCUGACGUGAAAAUGGGAAUGAAUGAGGUAGAGGCAGCCAGGACCGGCCAGGGGGGUAGCUGCUCCUCCAGGAACCUGCCUGCAAAGACCCCAUGCAUGGCAUCUUUAAGUGGGUCAGGGCCCUGAAUCUAGCCAAGUCCCAGAUCCUGUGUACAUCCCUCACGUAUCAGGGUCAUGCCGUGGCGUACUCUGGUUUGCCAAGGCGGUAGCUGAGCAGGCUUUUUGACAGUAAGUGCAUGGGAGUGCACACACGUCCCAGCAGAGUGCCAGUUUUAGGUCCUAAAAUAGCAAAUUCCAGCUGACUGCUUUCAAGGCAACCAGGCAGCACAUGGUGUUGUGGGAACAUUGCACAAAUCAGCAGAGAAGCUAGCUGAGCUGCCAGCAAGCAAUACAAAAAAGGAAAAGAAAGAAAGGGGCGUGUGUCUUGUCUGGUUAGUAGAAGCUCCUUAAAUCAAGGCACUGAGGCUCGACAGUGAGGGACAUGAACUAUGUUUGAUUCUUUCUGUGUGUAC